GCGGCUUUCCCUCAGUUGGGAGAGCGCUCGACCGAGGAUCAGCAGGUCGCUUGUUGAGCCAGGCAAGCCGCA